rnacentral:rRNA from 1 species
GUGAACGCUGGCGGUAGGCCUAACACUUGCAAGUCGAACGGCAGCACCGUAAGAGCUUGCUCUUACGGGUGGCGAGUGGCGGACGGGUGAGGAAUACAUCGGAAUCUACUUUUUCGUGGGGGAUAACGUAGGGAAACUUACGCUAAUACCGCAUACGACCUACGGGUGAAAGCAGGGGAUCUUCGGACCUUGCGCGAUUGAAUGAGCCGAUGUCGGAUUAGCUAGUUGGCGGGGUAAAGGCCCACCAAGGCGACGAUCCGUAGCUGGUCUGAGAGGAUGAUCAGCCACACUGGAACUGAGACACGGUCCAGACUCCUACGGGAGGCAGCAGUGGGGAAUAUUGGACAAUGGGCGCAAGCCUGAUCCAGCCAUACCGCGUGGGUGAAGAAGGCCUUCGGGUUGUAAAGCCCUUUUGUUGGGAAAGAAAAGCAGCAGGUUAAUACCCCGCUGUUCUGACGGUACCCAAAGAAUAAGCACCGGCUAACUUCGUG